GAUGAACGCUGGCGGCGUGCCUAAUACAUGCAAGUCGAGCGAACAGACGAGGAGCUUGCUCCUCUGACGUUAGCGGCGGACGGGUGAGUAACACGUGGAUAACCUACCUAUAAGACUGGGAUAACUUCGGGAAACCGGAGCUAAUACCGGAUAAUAUAUUGAACCGCAUGGUUCAAUAGUGAAAGACGGUUUUGCUGUCACUUAUAGAUGGAUCCGCGCCGCAUUAGCUAGUUGGUAGGGUAACGGCUUACCAAGGCAACGAUGCGUAGCCGACCUGAGAGGGUGAUCGGCGACACUGGAACUGAGACACGGUCCAGACUCCUACGGGAGGCAGCAGUAGGGAAUCUUCCGCAAUGGGCGAAAGCCUGACGGAGCAACGCCGCGUGAGUGAUGAAGGUCUUCGGAUCGUAAAACUCUGUUAUUAGGGAAGAACAAAUGUGUAAGUAACUAUGCACGUCUUGACGGUACCUAAUCAGAAAGCCACGGCUAACUACGUG
rnacentral:rRNA from 1 species